rnacentral:rRNA from 1 species
CCCUUAGAUGUUCUGGGCCGCACGCGUGCUACACUGAGUGGAUCAGCGGGUCAGGUUGCGCGAAAGUGUUUCCUAAUCUUUAAAUCCGCUCGUGAUGGGGAUUGACGGUUGCAAUUUUCCGUCAUGAACGAGGAAUACCUUGUAAGCGCGGGUCAUCAUCCCGCGCUGAAUACGUCCCUGCCCUUUGUACACACCGCCCGUCGCUCCUACCGAUUGAGUGGUCCGGUGAGGCUUUGGGAUCUGAGCGGAAAGAGCGUUUCGCUGUUUCUGCUCGGAAAACUCAGUCGAACCUUAUCAUUUAGAGGAAGGGGAAGUCGUAACA